UAAGACCAAGCGGUUAUGUUUUUGUUUUUCUUCCAGGGCUCAGGAAAAGUCAAGAUGGCAGAGAGGAAUAUUUGAAUCUCUGCGUAGGCCUGGCCUAACGCAGACUGGCCCUGGGGGAUGACAUGCGGAGGAGCAUUUAAGGACAAGGAAGGAAAGGACAAUCAGGAUCAGCAUAAGGAUUUUCCUAACAACGGGUCCUGUUCAACAAGGAUACCGACCUUCUCAUCAGGCAGUGAACUACAUAGAAUUGCCAGAACGUCUCCGCUGACCUGUAGAUGGCCUAUGGCUCUUUCUAUAAAGCUGCUGUUUUUCCCACA
rnacentral:lncRNA from 1 species